UUAAGCUUGUCAUUUAGAGGAAAUGAAAGGAAGUCAUUGAUUACUUUCAACACUCACUAUCUUUGCUUUGAGUGUGUAAAAUGCUUUUGUAUUUCCCAUCCAAAACUAACAGUUAGACAGUAGCCCCCCAAAAUAGGCCACAUUAUUCAUAGUCCAAGAUUCUCAGGCAUCAUAAUUUACGCUGAGCUGAAAGAAAUUAUGACUUUUAAGAGGAGUUCAGUCUUGCUAGACAAUAUAUUCCUCUGACCAUUCUCCAGGAACAUUGCUUAAAAUAACAGCUGUGAAUUAUAGGUCUCCAAUGUGAAAUUAGUGGGACAAUUUAAAUGGGAGGAACAAGAUUCUCAUUCUUCAGUAUAACAAGUAUUUUUAGGGAUCAGGAUGAACACACAGAUCUCCAGCAAGAAAUGGAAACUGAAAUUUUGAGACUUCAGAUCAAAACUUUGAAAAUGGUAUCAGUUAUGGAGAGAAUACAGCAUUCUAUGUCCUCUUUUGCUAGGUCAUAUUUCAAAAGCCACAACAUUUCCAUGAAUCUGUCUCAUUAACUGGAUUUUAGGGAAUCACCCCGGCAAGAAUGUUCUUUCUUAUUUCUUCCACAAGAAACACCAAUUACUUAGAUUUUUAGCUCUGCUUCCAUAACUGGUGGGCUCAUCAGUCUCCUCACAACAGUAAGAAUUUGCCUUCAAGUUAUCAUCAAGAAGCAGGCUUUCCUGACUGACAGUCAUUCCCGUAGAAACAUCUUUACCCCAGAGGAUACAAGUGGAAACAUCAAAGAAGAAGAACAGAGAGUACAUUUAAGAACAUCUGGUAUAACAUCAAGGAAAUCUGUCUACAAGACAAGCAAAGUCCAUCUCCUUUCCUGGCCUCUGCAUUGAGAUGCAUCAGAGAAGUCAUUUACUACAAGUGGUUGAAUCAGGAAUUUAACUCAUAAAGCCUAGGGUUAAGAGUUUAAAAAAAAAACAUACUUGCAUAUAUAGGUAAUAUACACAUGUAUGUAAGUAGAAUGACAUAGAUAUAAUGUUUAAUAAAAU